rnacentral:rRNA from 1 species
AUACGGAGGGUGCAAGCGUUAAUCGGAGUUACUGGGCGUAAAGGGCGCGUAGGCGGUUAUUUAAGUCAGUUGUGAAAGCCCAGGGCUCAACCUUGGAACUGCAAUUGAUACUGGGUAACUAGAGUCGAAGAGAGGGAAGCGGAAUUUCCGGUGUAGCGGUGAAAUGCGUAGAUAUCGGAAGGAACACCCGUGGCGAAGGCGGCUUCCUGGCUUCAGACUGACGCUGAGGCGCGAAAGCGUGGGGAGCAAACAGGAUUAGAUACCCCAGUAGUCC